rnacentral:rRNA from 1 species
GACGAACGCUGGCGGCGUGCUUAACACAUGCAAGUCGAACGGAGUGGCGAACGGGUGAGUAACACGUGGGUGACCUGCCCUGCACUUCGGGAUAAGCCUGGGAAACUGGGUCUAAUACCGGAUAGUGUGGGAUGGGCCCGCGGCCUAUGCGCUUGUUGGUGGGGGAAUGUCCUACCAAGGCGGCGCGGGGUAGACGGCCUGCGAGGGUGGACGGCAACAUUGGGACUGAGACACGGUCCAGACGCCUACGUGAGGCAGCAGGGGGGAAUAUUGCACAAUGGGCGGAAGCCUGAUGCAGCGACGCCGCGUGGGGGAUGACUGCCUUCGGGUUGUAAACUCCUUUCACCAUCGACGCGGUAGAUGGAGAAGAAGCACCGGCUAACUACGUGCCAGCCGCCGCGGUAAUUC